GGGCUGGAAGGCGUUGGGGCGCGCGGCCAGGGAUCUGGGUGAGGCGAUGCACGCGGGAGGCGAGGCGGUACCAGUGCGGCAGCGGCCAAUCUUUGGUCGCAGCGGUGGGCAGUGCGCCUGGCGCGACCGGCGAUGGCUCGAGCGAGACAAGACGGGGCGGAGAGGUCUGCAGGGCGCUUCUGCGCCCGAUUGGGAAAGAGGCGCGCUGAUCCAUCUUGUCGUGGCCGGUGACUGGGCGAGGCGGCGCUCACUGGUGAGGUCAUGCCACAUGGCGGCGGCUCUCUGAAACAGGGCGCAAGCGCGCUCUGGUGCUCUUUGUCCGAUAGAUCCGCGGGAUUCCUUGCCGGGCCCAUCUUCCAACCUCUUUAUCUCCCGUCUUCCAAAC
rnacentral:lncRNA from 1 species